AUUGGGUGUAGCUCACCGGUAGAGCAGGGGACGUACUGGGGACCGUCAUGGGGACGUAUGGGUUAAGCGUUUGCCAUGCAGGAGUGAUCCGUCUCCAGAGCCUCGUGUAGUGGGUUCGACUCCCACCCCCAAUG
rnacentral:tRNA from 1 species